rnacentral:lncRNA from 1 species
AAAGUCUCCAGGGACAUCAGGAUAGCCAGCAUACUGUAUUGUUACUUGUAUUACUUGGUUUUAUCAUAAAAAUCUGUCACAACAGUUGGCUGGUCUGUCAAAGAUUGCCUUAAAUGAACAUUUUAUUCCAGGGAAUUACAAAAUCUUUAUUUAUUUAUGUAUGUAUUAUUUAUUUUCUUCUUUUUUGAGACAGGGCCUCACUCUGUCACCCCGGCUACACUGCAGUGGCUUACUGAAACUUCACAUCCCAGGCUCAAGCAAUCCUCCUCCCUCAGCCUCUCAGCCUCUUCAGUAGCUACAACACAGGUCCCACAGCAUUGAUCCCACAUUCCACUGAACUGUUUCAUUGGAUGCUCAAAUGAAGAGGGCUUAACACAAUAUGGAAGCGUCUAAAGCUUGGGGCUUGUACACUCUGAAGCAAUGGCCGGAGCUAAACCUUGGCCCCUUUAAGUCAUGGCUUGAG